rnacentral:rRNA from 1 species
AAGGGCCUACGGGGCGCAGCAGUGGGGAAUAUUGCACAAUGGGGGAAACCCUGAUGCAGCGACGCCGCGUGAGCGAAGAAGUAUUUCGGUAUGUAAAGCUCUAUCAGCAGGGAAGAAAAAAAUGACGGUACCUGAGUAAGAAGCACCGGCUAAAUACGUGCCAGCAGCAGCGGUAAUACGUAUGGUGCAAGCGUUAUCCGGAUUUACUGGGUGUAAAGGGAGCGUAGGCGGCGCGUUAAGUCUGAUGUGAAAACCCGAGGCUCAACCAAGGGAGUGCAUAGGAAACUGGCGG